CCCUUAGAUGUUCUGGGCCGCACACGCGCUACACUGAAGGAGGCAGCGUGUACUCCUGGAUCGAAAGAUUUGGGUAACCCGCGAAUCUCCUUCGUGCUAGGGAUUGAGGUUUGCAAUUAUCCUUCAUGAACGAGGAAUUCCCAGUAAGUGCAAGUCAUAAGCUUGCGCUGACUACGUCCCUGCCCUUUGUACACACCGCCCGUCGCUACUACCGAUUGAAUGAUUUAGUGAGGACUUCGGACUGGGACCGAUGCGGCUUUCGGGCUGCGUCGGUGUUCUGGAAAGAUGUCCAAACCGUAUCAUUUAGAGGAAGUAAAANUCGUANCA
rnacentral:rRNA from 1 species